GACGAACGCUGGCGGCGUGCCUAAUACAUGCAAGUAGAACGCUGAAGGAGGAGCUUGCUCUUCUGGAUGAGUUGCGAACGGGUGAGUAACGCGUAGGUAACCUGCCUGGUAGCGGGGGAUAACUAUUGGAAACGAUAGCUAAUACCGCAUAACAGUAGAUGUUGCAUGACAUUUACUUAAAAGGUGCAAUUGCAUCACUACCAGAUGGACCUGCGUUGUAUUAGCUAGUUGGUGGGGUAACGGCUCACCAAGGCGACGAUACAUAGCCGACCUGAGAGGGGGAUCGGCCACACUGGGACUGAGACACGGCCCAGACUCCUACGGGAGGCAGCAGUAGGGAAUCUUCGGCAAUGGACGGAAGUCUGACCGAGCAACGCCGCGGGAGUGAAGAAGGUUUUCGGAUCGUAAAGCUCUGUUGUAAGAGAAGAACGAGUGUGAGAGUGGAAAGUUCACACUGUGACGGUAUCUUACCAGAAAGGGACGGCUAACUACGUG
rnacentral:rRNA from 1 species